GAUGAACGCUGGCGGCGUGCCUAAUACAUGCAAGUCGAGCGAAUGGAUUAAGAGCUUGCUCUUAUGAAGUUAGCGGCGGACGGGUGAGUAACACGUGAGUAACCUGCCCAUAAGACUGGGAUAACUCCGGGAAACCGGGGCUAAUACCGGAUAACAUUUUGAACCGCAUGUUCGAAAUUGAAAGGCGGCUUCGGCUGUCCCUUAUGGACGGACCCGCGUCGCAUUAGCUAGAUGGUGAGGUAACGGCUCACCAAGGCAACGAUGCGUAGCCGACCUGAGAGGGUGCACGGCCACACUGGGAAUGAGACACGGACCAAGCUCCUACGGAAGGCAGCAGUAGGGAAUCUUCCGCAAUGGACGAAAGUCGGACGGAGCAACGCCGCGUGGGUGAUGAAGGCUUUCGGGUCGUAAAACUCUGUUGUUAGGGAAGAACAAGUGCUAGUUGAAUAAGCUGGCACCUUGACGGUACCUAACCAGAAAGCCACGGCUAACUACGUUCCAGCCGCCGCAGUAA
rnacentral:rRNA from 1 species